rnacentral:misc_RNA from 1 species
GAUGAAGAACGUAGCGAAAUGCGAUACGUAAUGUGAAUUGCAGAAUUCAGUGAAUCAUCGAGUCUUUGAACGCACAUUGCGCCCGCUGGUAUUCCGGGGGGCAUGCCUGUCCGAGCGUCAUUGCUGCCCUCAAGCACGGCUUGUGUGUUGGGCCUCCGUCCUCCUCCCGGGGGACGGGCCCGAAAGGCAGCGGCGGCACCGCGUCCGGUCCUCGAGCGUAUGGGGCUUCGUCACCCGCUCUUGUAGGCCCGGCCGGCGCUUGCCGACACAUCAAUCUUUUUUCCAGGUUGACCUCGGAUCAGGUAGGGAUACCCGCUGAACUUAAGCAUAUCAAUAAGCGGAGGA